rnacentral:tRNA from 1 species
AUAACUCAGUGGUAGAGUGUUUGCCUAGCAUGCGAGAGACACUGAGUUCAAUCCUCAGU